AGUUACGCCGUCGGGAGUACGCAGCCGCUUAGCGACUCUCGCGUUGCCCCCUGGGUGGGGCGGGUAGGUAGGUGGGGUGUAGAGAUGCUGGGUGUGCGGGCGCGGCCGGCCUCCUGCGGCGGGAGGGGAGGGUCAGUGAAAUCGGCUCUGGCGCGGGCGUCCUCCCACCCUCCCCUUCCUUCGGGGGAGUCGGUUUACCCGCCGCCUGCUUGUCUUCGACACCUGAUUGGCUGUCGAAGCUGUGGGACCGGGCCCUUGCUACUGGCUCGAGUCUCACAUGAGCGAAACCACUGCGCGGGGCGCGGGGGUGGCGGGGAGGCGGGCGUUGGUACGGUCCUCCCCGAGGCCGAGCGCCGCAGUGUCUGGCCCCGCGCCCCUGCGCAACGUGGCAGGAAGCGCGCGCUGGAGGCGGGGGCGGGCUGCCGGCCGAGACUUCUGGAUGGCGGCGGCCGCGGCUCCGCCCCGGGUUCCCACCGCCUGAAGGGCGAGACAAGCCCGACCUGCUACAGGCACUCGUGGGGGUGGGGGAGGAGCGGGGGUCGGUCCGGCUGGUUUGUGGGUGGGAGGCGCUUGUUCUCCAAAAACCGGCGCGAGCUGCAAUCCUGAGGGAGCUGCGGUGGAGGAGGUGGAGAGAAGGCCGCACCCUUCUGGGCAGGGGGAGGGGAGUGCCGCAAUACCUUUAUGGGAGUUCUCUGCUGCCUCCCGUCUUGUAAGGACCGCCCUGGGCCUGGAAGAAGCCCUCCCUCCUUUCCUCCUCGCGUGAUCUCGUCAUCGCCUCCAUGUCGAGUCGCUUCUCGAUUAUGGGCGGGAUUCUUUUGCCUAGGCUUAAGGGGCUAACUUGGUCCCUGGGCGUUGCCCUGCAGGGGAGUGAGCAGCUGUAAGAUUUGAGGGGCGACUCCGAUUAGUUUAUCUUCCCACGGACUAGAGUUGGUGUCGAGGUUAUUGUAAUAAGGGUGGGGUAGGGAAAUGGAGCUUAGUCAUUCACCUGGGGCUGAUUUUAUGCAACGAGACUGCGGAUUAUCACUACUUAUCAUUUUUGGAGCAUUUUUCUAGAGACAGACAUAAAGCAUGAUCACCUGAGUUUUAUACCAUUUGAGACCCUUGCUGCACCACCAAAGUGUAGCAUCAGGUUAAAUCUUAAUAGAAAAAUUUUAGCUUUUGCUUGAGAAACCAGUGCUUCCCUCCCUCACCCUCUCUCCCCAGGCUCUCUACCCCUUUGCAUCCCUACCAGGCAUCUUAGCAACUCUCACUCAUACUUGAUCCCAUUUUCCAUUUGUUGUACUUGCUCCUCUAGUAUUCAGACAUAGCACUAGCUUUCUCCCUCUCUUGAUCUUGGGUAGCCUGGUGUCUCGCGAAACCAGACAGAUUGGUUCCACCACAAAUUAAGGCUUGAGCUGGGGCUUGACUCUUACCCAGCAGUGCUUUUAUUCCUCCCUAGUUCACGUUCUUAAAUGUUUAUCUUGAUUUUCAUUUUAUCCUUUUUCCUUAGCUGGGAUUCUGUCCCUGACCGUCUUCACAGUCCAGGUGAUCUUGACUACUGCUUUACAGAGAAUUGGAUCUGAGGUUAGGCAACAUCUCCCUUUUUCUUCCUCUAAAUACCUCUCAUUUCUGUUCUUACCAGUUAGUAACUGAUCUCAGAUGCCUGUGUGAUAGCUUCCAAAUUGCUGUCUCUGUCUUUAGUGUUAUCUUUUGAUCCAUCUUACAUCUUGUUAGGAUGAUUGUCCUAAAGGAAGAUAGAGCAUGAAAAUGACAGGUGAAACUCCAUUACUGGCUUGUACUGUUUACAGCAAGUUGUCUAACCCGCGGGCCGCAUGGGACCCAGGACAGCUUUGAAUGCGACCCAACACAAAUUCGUAAACUUUCUUAAAGUUUUAGGAGUUUUUUUUGCGGGGUGUUUUUUUUGUUGUUGUUGUCUGUUUUUUUUUUUUGCUCAUCAGCUGUCCUUUAUAUGUGGCCCAAGACAGUUCUUGCAGUGUGGCCCAGGGAAGCCGAAAGAUUGGACACCCCUGGUUUACAGGAUGAAUUCUGUUCUCGUGAAUGUGAUGCAUAAGGUCCCUGGAUAGACUUUCCUCAAUUUAACAGCUUUUUCAUUUUUCACUAUUUUCCACAUACUACACACACAAAUAUGACCUCUCUCCUGAAGUCACAUGGAAUGAAUUGCAGUUACCCAAAUCAUAGAGACGUCAUAUAUCUUUGUGGGGUGGUUCUUUUUGGAAUGCUACCCUUGCUGCUUUUAAUCCUGCAGAUUCAAAUGUCAUCUCCCCUUUGGUCAUGCCUUCCAUGGUCUGUUGUUCUAUGACCCAAACUGCCCUUUUAAAAAAGCAGUUUUCUUCUGACUCCUGAGCAGUUUGUACUGCGUGGGUCAUAGUAAUUCUGGGGUUGUUGUCAUUGCUGAUUUAAAUUACCUUAACUAUUCUGAGCUUUUUGAAGGAAUAGUGUCUUGUACUCCUGAGCUCCUAGUAUACUCUGAUGUCUAGCCAACUUUAAGUAAAUGGAGUGAGCGACAUGUAAAUGUCUUUAUGGUUUGACAUUUUAUUAAUCUUGAGCAUUGGAAAAGUGGCUGGUAUGACUAAAGAACUGAAUUUUUAUUUUUUAUCUAAUUUGAAUUGCAACUGUGGACAGUAUAGCUGUAGCCCCGGACUUGUUCUGUGGAUUACAGAAUACGUGGACAUUGAUGGUUUUCUCUUUUUACUGAGCAGUAAGGAAAUAAAAGCUGAAGCUCUCUGGCCCAUUACAUUUCAUUUAACUGCUUGUUUUGUUUUAUUUAUUAUAUAUUUAGCUGAAAGCUAAGUCCAACAAACCAUUUUUAAAGAUGUGCCUGCCUUGGACAACAGUGAAAGCAAGCGUUAAUGAGUUUGGAUUUCAAAAAAAAAUGCAUAAUGAAUUUUAGGGAGGUGAGAUUCCAUUAAACUGUUACAGGAGCUACAUAGUUAAAUAUAUCAGAACUUGAAUGAAGAAUAGGUCUGUGUGAUACAAAUGAACCCAGCCUAAAUUUCUGUCCUACAAGUUUUCACUUCCUGGAAACACUUGAUUGGAGGAGCUCUAAGCAUCAUAUCUUGAGUUAUAGAAAACAAUCACAAAGUAAGUUUUAUCCUGAGGAAUUAUAAUACCAACAUUUU
rnacentral:lncRNA from 1 species